rnacentral:rRNA from 1 species
CCUACGGGAGGCAGCAGUGGGGAAUAUUGCACAAUGGGGGAAACCCUGAUGCAGCGAAGCCGCGUGAGUGAAGAAGUAAUUCGUUAUGGUAAGCUCUAUCAGCAGGGGAGAAAAUGACGGUACCUGAGUAAGAAGCCCAGGCUAACUACGUGCCAGCAGCCGCGGUAAUACGUAGGGGGCAAGCGUUAUCCGGAUUUACUGGGUGUAAAGGGAGCGUAGACGGCAGUGCAAGUCUGGAGUGAAAGGCGGGGGCUCAACCGUCGGACUGCUCUUGAAACUGUACGUCUUGAGUGCAGGAGAGGUAAGCGGAAUUCCUAGUGUAGCGGUGAAAUGCGUAGAUAUUACGAGGAACACCAGUGGCGAAGGCGGCUUACUGGACUGUAACUGACGUUGAGGCUCGAAAGCGUGGGGAGCAAACAGGAUUAGAUACCCGAGUAGUC